rnacentral:tRNA from 1 species
AGGGGAGUAGCUCAGCUGGUCAGAGCAUCGGUCUCCAAAACCGAGGGUCGCAGGUUCGAAUCCUGUCUCCCCUG